rfam:Enterobius vermicularis genome assembly, scaffold: EVEC_scaffold0002839
GCGUCGGUGGUUCAGUGGUAGAAUGCUCGCCUGCCACGCGGGUGGCCCGAGUUUGAUUACCCGCCGGCGCA